UUACAUUGUUUAUAUCUUCUAUAGUUCUCUCUCCCUCACCUUCCUCUUCUUCUGCAUCCUCCUCUUUCUUUCUUACUACUUUCUCAUCCUUAAAUCCCUUCUCUCUAAAACAUCUUCCCGUUGCAACUCAUUCCAUGGACAAAAGGUCCUCUGGUACGCGCCCCACAGUGGCUUCAGCAACCAGCUCUCCGAGUUCAAGAACGCCCUUCUAAUGUCUACCAUUUUGAACAGGACUUUACUUAUUCCUCCCAUUCUGGAUCACCAUGCCGUUGCUCUCGGUAGCUGCCCCAAGUUCAGGGUUCUGGAACUGAAUCAGAUUCGGAUCACGGUUUGGGACCAUGUCGUUGACCUCAUUCGCACUAAGAGAGGGAUACUGUUGGGUUAACUGCUCAGAAUAAGGAGCUCAAAAUGCGGUUACAGGCUAUGGAGCAACAAGCACAACUCAGAGAGGCCACAGCUCUGAACGAAAAAUUGAGGGAAGAAGUUCAGCGCCUCAAGAUAGCAUUUGGGAAAGUUCCCUCUAUCAAUGGCAAUAUGUUCAACCGAGGACUCGCUCCCCAACUCGCCUCCCACCUGCCCGACAUGCAUCACUUUGGUAGCCACCAGACACAACAACAACAACUUCACAUGCCUUAGUCAUCCAACAAUAACCAGAAUCACAAUAAUGGGCAUCCUCAACUUAGCUUCUUAGUCGUCAAUCGAAGGGUGUAAAAUCAAUUAUUAACCCAAAAAACUUUGUGUGGCGCUAUCAACAGGAUAACCCAUUUCAGGUGGCUUGUGUACAUAUAGUUAAGUAUGUAUGUACUCGGCAGGUAUGUAUAAGUUGUUGUGAUGACUGAUUUUGCUAAGAUCAGUCCCUUAUAUCAUUUCUUUAUAGGUAUGGCUAUAUCAGCAAUCAUUAUUAUUUCUAGGAUAAGAAUCAGAAUGUUGUUGUAAAGCAAAACCCUCUUUGUUGGACCAAUUAUGGGCAACUGGUUAUCAUCAUUUAUAAUGUUUACAACUACAAGUACUCUCUUAGAGUAAGCGACACAAAUAAGAAUCUAGUUUAUAGAGGUGGUUUUUAUAAAAAGAUUGUUAUAUGUUUGAACUGGAUGCAUAUUAGAAAGCUUAAAUACAUGAUUAGAUGUCAAUGGAGCAGUAAUUACUUACUAUUAAACAAAAAGAGAAUAAUUAUUGAGUUUUGUUUGGCUGUUUAUUUAUUUAUACAUAAUGAGAUAACGUGGAAGUUGGGUUGAUGAUCAAGGCCACGUGCUAGUCCAUAAUUAUUGUAGAAUCAAAGAACAAAAUCUAUGUUUAAAAUUUGAUUUAUUCCCUUCAAACCUUGAUAAGUUGAAAGUAUCAUCGUCAUCAUAAUGGUGGGUUUUUUUUUAUUCUUUAUAUGAACAAACAAUUAAGACAGCAAAAAACAAGUGGCAUAAAUGUGGCUUUGGUAUCAUUUUAGAAUUUGGAAUAAAAUUCCUGUUUUAUUAGUUAGUGUUUAGGCUGGAAACGCAUUUAAUGAGAAAAACUAAAUCAAUAAAAGCCAAGUAUUAUAUAUGGUAAUAUGCAUCUAGCUAUACAUGAUAUGUUUCUUGAAUUUGGUUUGUCUUGUUCAUGCAGCUUCUAAUUAAUGGUAACUUAUUAUUAUAAUAACAUAAUUGUUGGUGCCUUUUGUGUGUUUAUAAUUUGUUUUUGUUUGCAUAUUGUAAUGUAGUCUUGACAGUUUAAAACAAUGGCCAUGGGUACUUAUCCCAAAAAAAAUCAGAGCUCUGUCUCGCCGUUCUCCCGACUCCACUAAAAACUUGCAUAUUGCAUUCAAUUUACUUGUUAUAAAAUUCUUUUAAUUCUUUCAUUAUUGAAUUAUUUUCUUUUAAUUAAUCAUUAGUUUGUGUAUGAGUUUAGGGUUUAGAUAAAUCUGAAUUCCCUAAUUUCAAAAUGAAUUCUCUUAUUUUCUAAUAUAGAGUAAGUGUAUUAUUUGAUUUUGCAAUGUUACAUUAAUUUUUUGCUAAAUUUUUAAGUUUCUAUUACUAAAAAUCUAAAAAUAUCAUAAUCUCAUAUAUAUGUAGUUUGGUAUUCAUAUAUAAUAUCAUAAUAUCAACAAAUACUUGGUCAUACCUUAGUUAUAUUUUAUUUUCUCCUCUUUGCAUUAUUAUUUAAUUAUUUAAUUCGGAUUUGACUCACAUUCAUUAUAUAUUAUAACAUUGCAAAUGUGGGUAUAUGCUAAGACAGACUUCAAAUAAACUUUUUUUGCAACAGUUUGUAAAACGUAUGCCUCUAACUUUUAUUUUAAUACUAUGCAAAUGUUAGAGGAGUUUGAAUAUCUUAAAUAUUCAUCCAUAGUGAAGUAGGUUCUGGGAUUGAUAUUGUAUGUUGCGGUGAUAACGGAAGGUUGAGAACUUGUAUGUUUUAGUGAAGUAGGAUUUGAGAAAUUUGUGUGCUGCGGAGAUAAGAAAGAAAACGUGUGUUGUUUGAAUUGAUAUUGGCAAAUAGUUGGUUGCUAGUAUGGGGAAAAUGUUGUUCGGUUUUAUGUAGACUUGUCUAUGAUUAUCCUAUAAUUGAAUUGUGUUUGAUUGGUUUGAUUAUAACAUAUACUUGUAUGAAUGUACUUAUUGCGUGUUGGCAUACACAUAUAGCAUAACUUUUUGUACUUCUUGUUUUAGACGAUGUUAGUUUUCUUUUUGUCCCUUGUCUGAUGUCUUUGGUGAGGUGAUUUAUAACAUUGAUCAUCACUUUUGGUUCUUAUGAUCACGUUUAGGUUCAAUAGUAUAAAGUGUUAUACAAAAGUUAGACAUUAUUAGCAUAUUGGUUGAUAAUUCAUAGUUAUAUUGGACUCUAAGUUUCAUUCUUUUGGACUAUCAUUUAUUGAUUUUAUCAGCUUCGGGGUAUAUUUUUGUUUUAGUGUCAGUGCUUAAUUUUUUUAGAUUUAUUAAUUUUAGUGUAUAUUAUGUAUUUAUAUUUUUUGUUGGAUACUUUGCUUCUGAUUUUGUUAUGUUUAUUCAGAUUCAAGGUAUGUAUAUAUAUAGACUAUUUUGUUGGUGGCUUUUGGUACCCAUCAUAUAAUUUUAUAUUUGGUAUUCUAUGACAUAUUUGUGUUGUGUUUACUCUGUUAGUGUUGAAGACUUUGUUUAUUAUCUUGUUAUGUUAAUCAGCUUUAGGGUAUAUUUGUGUUUUGAUGUCAUUGCUUAAUUUUUUUUUUAGAUUUGUUGAUUUUAGUGUAUAUUAUGUAUAUAUAUUUUUUGUUAGAUAUUUUGCCUUUGAUUUUGUUAUGUUUAUUUAGAUUUAGAUUAUAUAUGUGUACUAUUGUAAUUAAGUUCUUUUUUGUGAUUCAUUUUUUACAUUUAUUGAUUUUGGUAUAUAUGUAUAUAUAUCUAUAUAUAAAUAUAUUUUUGUUGGAUAUUUCUUUCUAGUAUUAUUAUGGUUAAUUAUAUUUAUGGUAUUCAUUUUUUUUUUUUUGCCAAUGUUGUUAAAAUAAUGAGUAUGCUUAUUAUGUUGGUGAUUAUAGGACUUAUUGUGCUCUUAUAUUUUUAAAGGCAUACAAAGUUUCUUAAGUGCUCAUAAUAAGUCAUUCUUUUUUUCUUUUUGAAAUCCUUAUGAUGAUUAAAUUGGGGAUAUUCUAUUAUUAAAUUGGGAGUUUUGUUAUACUGUAAUUCACAACAUCAUUGGUCUCCGUCUCAAACCUUCUCGGCAUUCUUACAAGGUCAGUUUUUGUUUAAUAAUCUCUAAGAGGAUUAUUUAACUAAUUUUACAUAUUUAUAUUGUUGGUUCUCUCAUUCAUUCGUUAAUAUAUUAUGGUAAGAUAUGCUAUUUAAUUAUAAUUUGAAGUCUUUAAUUCAUUGGUGCAGGGAAUAUCAUAGGACGGACUUUUAAGGUGGAUGCCUAGAUCUAUUAGGAAGAAUAUUGAGAAAAGAAACAUGAUUGAGUUUGCAGUGAUUUAGAGAAGAUAAUUAUGUUGUCUUGUUGAGAUUUGUUGUAUUAUAUAUUUUGAAGUUUAUGGAUUUAUAAUAUUAUAAUGAAUUUUUAUUGAGAAUUAUUUAGUCUCA